CAGAAAGGCAAAAAUACUAUUCUUUGAUUAACAUUUAAGUUUCCAUUGUUCUCUCUCUAGAUACGGAUGCUACUUUCCAUCACAAGUCUAUUGGAAUUGCCUUAAAUCACCUCAAUGCUGAAAAGAGCCAAUUCUAUCACAUUGUUGAUCAUCACAUAAUCUUGUUGAUGCUAUGUAUUAUGUUUUCCUGGUUCUACUCACUUCAUCAGUUCAUUCCAUUUCAAGUGCCACCUUCUGCAAGAAGUCUUCCUGAUCUUCCUCCUCUGGCCUCUUUUAUAGUCUCCCAGUUGGCCUUCUCAUGCUGGAUAUUGAUUACCUUUCUGCUCAAUCCUCCCAACUGCACAAUGCUGGGGACAUAGAAAGUGAUGGAUUGAUUGACUUGGAUAUCCUCUGGAAGAUACUGGCUCCUUGCUACGUAACUUAUACAGGAAAGAGGCUUAUCAACCACAGCAGCAAUCUCCUUGCUCAAAAACUAGAUGGAAUUCAGAGUGGCAGAUGGCCUGAAGACAAUACCUCCACCAUACAUUAUAGCUGAGACAAAUAGAAAGAGGUGGCUGAAAAAGCCAUAGCUGAAGGGGAGAGAUUGGCUAAUCACACAACCUCCUUAACCUAGUGUCUAUGAAUUUGUUUUAUAUAUAUAUUUUUUGAUAAUCAUAUCUCGAUAUUAUAAAUUUCCUUUAUAAUACCAUGUAUUUUAUCUUGUGGCAAAUGUAUUAAAGGGUCUAAGGGUUUCACCACACAGCCAA